GGAGAUGUAGCUCAAUGGUAGAGCGUUUGCCAAAUAAGCACAGGGAUCUUGCUUCAAAUGCAAGCACACCA
rnacentral:tRNA from 1 species